AAAGAGAAAGAAGUAAAUAAAUAGUAAAAGAAAAUUGGGUGUCAGGAGAGGACUUUCUCAGAGAAAAUGAGCAAGAAGCUUCCGCGUCUACCUAUCUGUCGAAGCGUCCCUUCGGGCAGAACUCUUCUUUGUUCCCCAGCUCUUUUUCUUUUUCAUACAACUUUGUCACCCGUGCUGUGGUAAUGGUUCACUCCGACGCAUUGGAGAAAGACAGGGAUGGGGUUAUGGUUGAUGUCCCCUGCUUGUUCAUCUGCAUGGAGAGCCCGCUUCAAGACCUCUGUGUUCGUGGCAUGGGGGAGUAAGCUGGUUCCCUUGAAAAGGAGGGCAAAGACUACUAGGAGAUAGACGAUCACAUUAUAUGGCUUUUAAGCCUUUUAUUUAUAGCUUGAAAUCAGUUUAACUGGUUUCACGCUCCUGCCAUGUGAAGCCUUUCAGGCUUCCACAAUUUUACUAGCUUUCACUCAACACCUUCCAAAAGCCCUCGAUUUCUUAGUUUAAGACGUUUUGACGUCUAAAACUCGAGAGCCCCUGGCCAGGGACCACCCUCUCUGGCCAGGGGCUUGCGCAUAUUCUACUCUAUCGGCUUUUUAGCCGAUUCAGGAUCUUCCUAUCGAGAGCCCUUGGCCAGAGACGGACUCUCUGGCCAGGGGGUCUCUGGCCAGGGUAUUCCUCUCUGGCCAACGAGACGCGCGUCGUCGAGACCGACGCGACCCUGUUGCAAGCCCUUGGCCAGGGACGAGCCCCUCUGGCCAGAGACAGACGCUUUUGACGGGUCGAGCCCGUCACAUUAUUUCACCUUCAACUCCCCAAAUAAUCGUUAAAACGUUGGGUUCCCAAUACAACCCCGACUCCCUCGGAAGGAGAGAGUAAAGGAGUGGGAGAGUGUGCCGAUUUGGAGUUUUCCCACGUCAAAUUCUCGGUGUGCUGUUUUAAUUUCCGCUACUUUGUUUUGUUUGCAUCGAGUUUUUCGAGUUUGCCGGAUUUACACCUAUUCACCCCCCUCUAGGUGUUACUUACCUUUUAGAUCCUUGGGAUCCAUAUCUCACACAUAAAACCAAACCCUAACAAAGAUCUUGCAAGAAACCUCACCUUGGCCCACUAACACUCCAAGCUCCAUCUUGUAGGAGAGCUCUUGUUCCUCCAAAGCUCCAAAUCCACCUUCAAAUCUCCUCCAAAAGCUUUCUUGGAGAGAUCUCUAGAUAGAGAGAAGGAGAGGAAUGGAGUAGAGAGAGUGAGGGACGGUGUUCUCUGCAUGUAUACAAAGAUGGAGGAGGUUGCAGUUAUUUAUAGGCUGCCACAAUUACAUUUAGACCCUCCAACAAUCUAAAAUGGCAACAGUGUCCAUUCUGCAAUUUUAACAUUGGGUGCUGGUACUCGGGCUUGAGUACCUGUACCCCGGGUGGAUAGCCAAACCCGAGAGCAACCCAUUCUACGCAGGCCACUGGGUAUCGGUACACGGGCUCGAGUACCGGUACGCGAGUGCCCUAGUAUCGAUACUCCGACUCCAGUACCGGUACCCCGCUUCGCAAUAGCCAAACCCGAGAGCAACCUCAUCUCAGGUUAUUUAUCUGGUACCGGUACUCGACAACCAGUAUCGGUACGUCGCCCUGCUCUCCCAAACCCAAGAGCAGACUUUCUCUGCUUCGCUGCCAGGUACCGGUACAAAAUCCUAGUACCGAUACGCAGUGCCCAGACUGCAGUUUUAGCAGUUUAAGCUCUAUUUCGCGCCGAUCAAUGUUAAAACCAGCCAAACACAUCCGAAACUUAGCUUUAGCCUUUCCGACAUUAUUGGAACAAUAUUCGGACUAUGUCCAAUCUUCCCUCUUGCCACCUUUUGGUCAUUUUGACCAAAAGUGGUACAAAGUGCUGGGAAGCCGAAUCCUCACAAUACAUAUUAUAUUAUACCCUCCAUGUUCUAUUAUGAAUAAGACUAUUCUAUUAUAUCCUAAGAGUGUAAAUUUGUAAUGUCACGCCCCGAGACCCGUCUCUUUGAUCGGAUUCGAGCACGCUGACAGACCGCCGAACGAACAGAGUUUUUCCCGUAUGUCCAAGGCAUCGCAACAGUACAAGUUAAGUGGUUCCAAACAGGAACAGAUUUCACAUACUGAAUGCAUAAGGAAAGGUACCGAAAACAUAAAGUACUUAACUGUUACAAGCAUUCAGCACUCAUCCCGCACAUGGCCCGGCUGCCCACAUAGGAUGCAUUUCCCAUCAUGCAGCGCACAUCGCCGUGCCCAAUGGGAACCACCACAAAUCACGCAGCCUGGGGAGGAUCGGGUAGAGGAUAACUUCGAGUGUUGCUUGAAACUUGAUUGACCACCCGAGCUGCUCGAUAGUAGCCUCACUCCUCCCCGCUCACGUUUAAAAGAUUCACGCUCCUCCCACACGAAAGUAUUGCCUUGUUCUACCCACAAGGCCCGAUCCAAGACUUUGGCAAAAGUUUGCAACUUAAGUAUAUGCACAGCUUUGAAAACGUCCGGCCGAAGUCCCCGCAUAAAGCAGUCAGCUUGGUCUUUGUCAUGCCGCACCACAUACGGGACAUAGCUCACGAUACGGAAAAAUUCCCGCUUGUAUUCCCUCACCGAGCGGUCUCCUUGCCGCAGCUUCCUGAACCUAUCCUGAAACUUUCUCUUUUCACUAUCGAAAAAAUAAGCAGUAAAUAUCAAUUCCCGAAACUCUUCCCAAGUCAUAGGAGGAAGACUAGGCGAUCGGUUUCGUCUGACGCCUUUCCACCACACCUUUGCCAUCUGUUUCAAACAAUGCACGGCUAGGUGCACCUUGUCCCGCUUCAAGGUGUACAGAUCCUCAAAAAGAGUUUUCAUGGAGUCGAUCCACAUCUCCACGAUCCACGGAUCUACAUUCUCUCCAUCAAAGGUAGGCGGAUCGAAUUUCUUGAAAGUCAUGAGGGUCUCCAGAGCUCGCUCCUUCUUCGCCUCCAUCUCUGCAUUAUCGGGAGUCGGAUUGCCCGAACUGGACGGAAAGAUCUCCGCCGCAACUCCCGAUCGUACUCGACGGGCCGCAAUUGGUGCGGUUACCAGCUGCUCCACAAUUUCUUGGAGUCUCCUAAUCCGCUCCUCCUGGCGCACAACAGCCUCCUGCUGACGCUGCACCACAUCAGCUUGUUGCCUCGCCACUCCAACAAGUAUGGCCAACUGAUCGCGAAGUUCCAAGUCUCCACUCACCUCGGAUUGCUCAGGGACAUCACUUGUCCCAUCCAGCGCCGAUCUAGUUGAAGAUCGCCUACGCAGUGCCAUCGUUUCCUAAAACAUGACAACACGGUCAAUCCUCGACCCUCUAGGUCAAACACGUAAUAAUUAACACCGACCCAGGCUUAAAUUAGGCGAAAGUCAUACAAGGGAGCCUAUUCUCAUCACUCGGUUUUCUGUUGUGCGCGCCCAACACGAACACACUUGGUCGAGAAUAAACUACACCUUGAGUCUACCUUUAACAUCCUUUUUAUAGGCAUACAACACACGACCCAAUCGAUUCAUCUUUUGCCACGAAUCACAAGUUCUCGUCUCUCACGAGCCUAAGUUCUAUGUGGUUUACUAUCCUAGGGUCUCCGAGGUCCAACUAAACUGUUUUCUUUAUUUUCUUUAUUCUCUUUAUGCUCUGAUACCACAUUAUAUGUCACGCCCCGAGACCCGGCUCUUUGGUUGGAUUCGAGCGUGCCGACAGACCGCUGAACGGACAGAGUUUUUCCUGUAUGUCCAAAGCGUCGCAACAAUACAAGUCAAGUGGUUCCAAACAGGAACAAAUUUCACAUAUUGAAUGCAUAAGGAAAGGUACCGAAAACAUAAAGUACUAAACUAUUACAAGCAUUCAGCUCAUUUACAUCCAAUUUACAUUUUACAUUUUCUUUGCUUCCACAUACAACCAACUAUUACAAAUUAUCGCAAUUUGGUUCUUUCUUUUCGUUUCCAUACCCCUAUGCUAGACCAACUCGGGAUACUGCUAUCUCUGGUCUCAGUGGUAGGGCUCUAUCUACUGAGCUACGCCCUUUCGGACCUGAAAAACGUAGGGUGAGAACUAUAUAAAUAGUUCCCAGCGGGUACGGCCACCCAGGGGAAGAGCUCGACCCACCAGGUCCAAAGGAGGCACAACAACAUGUUAGUCCAACAGAUAUACACAUAUAAUUUAUGCAAGUAUUAAAUACAUGCGUAUGCCUCACAGCAUGCAAUAUGCGAUUCAUGCAAGGAGAUCUACUGAUUUUACUUUCUAUCUCACUAUCCACAGUGUAAGGACUGAGAAUUUGACUGUGUAGCUAAACUCUGUGUUGUUGAUGUUUUUGUGUGUAAUUUAAUUGCAUAAAUACUCGUCAAGUUUCAGGAGAAAUCGAGUUAAGAUGGAGAAGUUACGCGAUCAUUACUAUUCACUUAAAGUAAAUAGUAACUACGAUUUUUCGGAGAGGCCAAUUAAUGGAGAUGGCUUCUGGUGCGUAUUGGACUUCGUUCAUAGUGAUCCAAUAGCUCAUUUUCAAUGGUUCGACUGUCCUGAACCCAAUGGCGCUGACGGAUUUUAGAUCUGAUGCACGGUUUUCGAGAAAAAGGAGGUUUAUUGUAUUUACACAUAUACAUAUGUGUGGUUUUUUUUUGGUAUUUGGCGAGUGGAUGGGCUUCGUCAUGAAUCUGUGAUCAAAAUGGACGAAACGAAAAGGUAGAUUCGAUGCCCCAGUCGUGCUGAACGCUCUGGCGUGAUCCGAUCGGAAAUCCGAUGAACGGAUCUCCGGGAAUCGCGAAUUGUUCGUUCAGGGGUCGAAAUUGGCAAAACGAAAAAAUUGCGAGAAACGUAAUAUUUUAUGCGUCGUUUUGCGUGAUUUCGAACGUUGAGGGGCUUGUGUGCAAAUUACACGUAAUGGCAGGGACUUAGCUAAAAAUAUUGGACUCUGGAGGGCUUUUCUGCAAUUAUACACCCUUUGUAUAAAAGUAGUGUUAGGGUUUCUCACAUGGAACCCUAAUCCUAAUCCACCCCAGCUAACCCUAGUCCACCCUAGCCAUCUUCAGCCUGCCUUUGCCCUUGUCGUGCGCGCACCUCGGCAGCCGGCAAGUGCUCCGGCCGCCGAAAAAUUCGUGCUCAGCCUCUUCUCCACCUUCCCCUGCACCUAGCUGCCACCUUCCUCGGUCGUGGUGCUCGGGAGGUCACCAUCCACGUCGAGCCUCCACCCUCUGGCCGAGACCUUUCUCCGGCGCCGUUCCUGCUGGCCCCCGCUGUCCCCGUGCGCCGCCGGCGUCGCCUGAGCUCUCUGCGGCCACCCGCGGCCAGCUCUGGCAGAGUCUGUGACAGCUCGUGGCCGCGAGCUAUUGUGGCAACUGGGCAGGUCACGCCGCUCUUCCACCGUCUCCGGUGACUCUCGGCUCACAAUCGCCAUCGUUCUCGAAGCCGCCGGCUGCUGCUUAUGCUCCCUGUGGCUGCCUAGACUUUGUGUGGGUCGAGGCGGAGCCACCUUGGCCUCCGCGAACCGCCGCGGUCUAACGUCGAGCACACCGCCCUCUAUCGGCCACUGGCGACCGAUCGCCGUCGCCCCAUCGCUCCCCUGGCCGCCGCCCGGCCAUCGUUGCCUCUCAAACCCGAGCCGACCCGCACUGGUUGGAUCUCCUCCGCCACGCCACCGGCCGCCUCCUGCAGCCGGCCAGUGUGAGCCCCGGCCCCCACUGACUGGCUGCACCCUCCUCUGGCCGGCCCGCCUACCGUACGGCAGCCGCUGGCCACCUCGUGCCCUACCUUGCUCCAGUAAGGUUUUUAUCUACAUUCUGUGCAUUGUUUGGGAUUCCGGUCGCUUUUCCGGCGAUCCGGAGGUGCCCCGACACCCCCGGAAGUGAGAACGAUGAUCCCUGAUCCGUGCCGAACAUCGUGCUCAUCUCCAUUUGGGUCAGCGAAGCCCCAGUGUGCUUAUGAAACGCAGUUUAACCACUGAGCGCUUUGUUUCGCUGACUUCGCAUCGCUCGCACGGUUGCCACAGUAGCUGGUCGUGCUCCGAAGUGUGAGAACGGUCUCCGGCACAUCGAGACCUGACAGCGGGUGUCUCGGCCAGGUCAGGAAAUCCUCAGUUUGCGCUGUCGGGUCGUAAAACCCCGAAAAUCAUAUAAAAUAAUGUGAUUUUAUGUAAUCAGGAGUGCUUUUAUGCAAUUGUUUAAAUUGUGGUUACUGUUGGCAGCGUGUGCGGGCAGCGAGUAACCUCUGGACUGGUUGUCCAAGGCCCCAAGCCUUUCCGAAAAUUAAAUGUUGAUUUUCGAUGUGUUUCUCGGUGAAAUCCGUCGAUGGAACUCGUUUUCGGUUCGGAAUUCUUCCGACGGUGCCUCGCGGUAGAUCACGUGGUCGCUGAGCAUUGUUGGUUGGUCACUCGUGUUGUUUCAAGGGUUCGGAAAUGACGGGUGAGCGACGGUGGGUUUCGGUGUCGAAUUGGACACUUUCGGGAACCCGGAUCGGAACGAUUAUCCGACAAUAAUCGUUUCGAUGUGAGGCAGUGUGUUUUCUGCCAAGUCUUAUGAAUAAUGGUGUUUAGUGGCAUCGGAUGACUCGUAGCAUGAGUCGGUGAGUUUCGGGACAGUUCGUGGUUCCUGGCGGAGUCCCAGUGCGAUUUUUGGGACUUCCGGCGUGUUCGGCAUCGGUUUUGGGAAACCGAUUCCCGUAGGGUUUAUUGGUGGGGAUUGUGAGUUAGUGUUUUGUGUUCGUGGGUUGGAUUCUAACCCGGUGGACCAUUCGUAGGUCCGGUUAUUACUUCGUUCGCAGUCGAAAGAUCAGUACCGUUGUUGAAGCAUAAAAAAAAGAGACAGGAAUAAAAAAGAAAAAAAAAAAGAAGAAAAAGAAAAAGAAAAAAAAGGAGAGAGAAAGAAAUAAAAAAAUAGAGAUGGUUUAUGAGAUUAUCCAUGCACCAGGUGCAUGGAUAAAAUUUAAAUUUUGAAAAUAUCUCAUGCACCGGGAGCAUAAAUUACGAAAAGUGGGACGUUCUCGUAGAUACGAACGGGUAUUAAAAAUAGCAUAUUAGCCCUUUCCCGUUCAUGUAUUUACAAAAUGCUCCGCUUUAAUCAUAUAAUAUUUUAUUGUAUUGACUAAGGUGUAAUAUGAGCAAAGGGAACGGACUAAUCCGCAAUAUUCCCACAAUCCCAUCGUAACCACCCAAUAUCUCUACGAUUCCACCAUAACCAUCCAUUAUUUCACAAUCCCAUCGUGACCAUACAAAAUCUUCCCCACAAUCUUAUUACGAACAACCCAUACCCCACAAUCCCGGAUUCUCAUCGCACGUUUCCCUCAAACCGGUUACAACCACCCAUAUCCCACGACCCCAUCCCACGAUCCUGUAACCACCUCACCCAUACGCACGUUUUCCUCAACCACCCUCAAAUCGUACGCACGUCCCCCUCAAAUCACCCCAUAAAUACCUCUCAAAAAAAAAAUUGGAAAAAA
rnacentral:lncRNA from 1 species